rnacentral:rRNA from 1 species
GUACACAAAAAUGCACAUAUUGUGAGCUCGAUGAGUAGGGCGGGACACGUGGUAUCCUGUCUGAAUAUGGGGGGACCAUCCUCCAAGGCUAAAUACUCCUGACUGACCGAUAGUGAACCAGUACCGUGAGGGAAAGGCGAAAAGAACCCCGGCGAGGGGAGUGAAAAAGAACCUGAAACCGUGUACGUACAAGCAGUGGGAGCCUCUUUAUGGGGUGACUGCGUACCUUUUGUAUAAUGGGUCAGCGACUUAUAUUCUGUAGCAAGGUUAACCGAAUAGGGGAGCCGAAGGGAAACCGAGUCUUAACUGGGCGUUAAGUUGCAGGGUAUAGACCCGAAACCCGGUGAUCUAGCCAUGGGCAGGUUGAAGGUUGGGUAACACUAACUGGAGGACCGAACCGACUAAUGUUGAAAAAUUAGCGGAUGACUUGUGGCUGGGGGUGAAAGGCCAAUCAAACCGGGAGAUAGCUGGUUCUCCCCGAAAGCUAUUUAGGUAGCGCCUCGUGAAUUCAUCUCCGGGGGUAGAGCACUGUUUCGGCAAGGGGGUCAUCCCGACUUACCAACCCGAUGCAAACUGCGAAUACCGGAGAAUGUUAUCACGGGAGACACACGGCGGGUGCUAACGUCCGUCGUGAAGAGGGAAACAACCCAGACCGCCAGCUAAGGUCCCAAAGUCAUGGUUAAGUGGGAAACGAUGUGGGAAGGCCCAGACAGCCAGGAUGUUGGCUUAGAAGCAGCCAUCAUUUAAAGAAAGCGUAAUAGCUCACUGGUCGAGUCGGCCUGCGCGGAAGAUGUAACGGGGCUAAACCAUGCACCGAAGCUGCGGCAGCGACACUAUGUGUUGUUGGGUAGGGGAGCGUUCUGUAAGCCUGUGAAGGUGGCCUGUGAGGGUUGCUGGAGGUAUCAGAAGUGCGAAUGCUGACAUAAGUAACGAUAAAGCGGGUGAAAAGCCCGCUCGCCGGAAGACCAAGGGUUCCUGUCCAACGUUAAUCGGGGCAGGGUGAGUCGACCCCUAAGGCGAGGCCGAAAGGCGUAGUCGAUGGGAAACAGGUUAAUAUUCCUGUACUUGGUGUUACUGCGAAGGGGGGACGGAGAAGGCUAUGUUGGCCGGGCGACGGUUGUCCCGGUUUAAGCGUGUAGGCUGGUUUUCCAGGCAAAUCCGGAAAACCAAGGCUGAGGCGUGAUGACGAGGCACUACGGUGCUGAAGCGACAAAUGCCCUGCUUCCAGGAAAAGCCUCUAAGCAUCAGGUAACAUCAAAUCGUACCCCAAACCGACACAGGUGGUCAGGUAGAGAAUACCAAGGCGCUUGAGAGAACUCGGGUGAAGGAACUAGGCAAAAUGGUGCCGUAACUUCGGGAGAAGGCACGCUGAUAUGUAGGUGAAGCGACUUGCUCGUGGAGCUGAAAUCAGUCGAAGAUACCAGCUGGCUGCAACUGUUUAUUAAAAACACAGCACUGUGCAAACACGAAAGUGGACGUAUACGGUGUGACGCCUGCCCGGUGCCGGAAGGUUAAUUGAUGGGGUUAGCGGUAACGCGAAGCUCUUGAUCGAAGCCCCGGUAAACGGCGGCCGUAACUAUAACGGUCCUAAGGUAGCGAAAUUCCUUGUCGGGUAAGUUCCGACCUGCACGAAUGGCGUAAUGAUGGCCAGGCUGUCUCCACCCGAGACUCAGUGAAAUUGAACUCGCUGUGAAGAUGCAGUGUACCCGCGGCAAGACGGAAAGACCCCGUGAACCUUUACUAUAGCUUGACACUGAACAUUGAGCCUUGAUGUGUAGGAUAGGUGGGAGGCUUUGAAGUGUGGACGCCAGUCUGCAUGGAGCCGACCUUGAAAUACCACCCUUUAAUGUUUGAUGUUCUAACGUUGGCCCGUAAUCCGGGUUGCGGACAGUGUCUGGUGGGUAGUUUGACUGGGGCGGUCUCCUCCUAAAGAGUAACGGAGGAGCACGAAGGUUGGCUAAUCCUGGUCGGACAUCAGGAGGUUAGUGCAAUGGCAUAAGCCAGCUUGACUGCGAGCGUGACGGCGCGAGCAGGUGCGAAAGCAGGUCAUAGUGAUCCGGUGGUUCUGAAUGGAAGGGCCAUCGCUCAACGGAUAAAAGGUACUCCGGGGAUAACAGGCUGAUACCGCCCAAGAGUUCAUAUCGACGGCGGUGUUUGGCACCUCGAUGUCGGCUCAUCACAUCCUGGGGCUGAAGUAGGUCCCAAGGGUAUGGCUGUUCGCCAUUUAAAGUGGUACGCGAGCUGGGUUUAGAACGUCGUGAGACAGUUCGGUCCCUAUCUGCCGUGGGCGCUGGAGAACUGAGGGGGGCUGCUCCUAGUACGAGAGGACCGGAGUGGACGCAUCACUGGUGUUCGGGUUGUCAUGCCAAUGGCACUGCCCGGUAGCUAAAUGCGGAAGAGAUAAGUGCUGAAAGCAUCUAAGCACGAAACUUGCCCCGAGAUGAGUUCUCCCUGAC